UUGAGUUCCUGUGCCAUCUUCUCAUCCUCUUUUCUGUUUGUCUCCUUCGCUUUGAAAUCCUGUUCAAGUCUCAUCUCCUGAUGCUCAAGCAUCAUGGCAUCAUUUCCAGUGGAGUCGCUGAACUUGUAGGUUGUCUACCUGACACCUCGAGGUCCUUACACCAAGAAGUCAGCUGUGAAGCCCGCUGAGUCCUCGGGUGGAUGUCUGCCACCACAUACAUAGCCUUUGCUGGUGGCUUGGAGAGCUGGCAGGUCAGCCACAGAAAGUGGGCAAGACCUAGUCAGUAGCGACAGGAUAUGUUCCCAGGAUGGACAGCUGCCUGAUAUGCGUUCAGUUCCAGUGCCAAAGCCAAGGGCUGCCAGUGCCCUUCCUUCAUGCUAAGGACUUCUCUCUCUCCAGGACAGCGGAUGCCUGUUUGGAAGGCUGGAUUGGACUGAGCCACAUGGCAGAGCCUUGGAGAUGGCAGGGGAGGGAAGUCGAAGACAUGGGCAAGUCUCAGUUCUCAACAGUGGCUGUGUGCCAGGCACUGAACGAGGCAUUUUGCAUGCAACAUUUCACUUUAUCUGCAC
rnacentral:lncRNA from 1 species